GUUGGGUAGGGGAGCGUUCUGUAAGCCUGCGAAGGUGUACUGUGAGGUAUGCUGGAGGUAUCAGAAGUGCGAAUGCUGACAUAAGUAACGAUAAUGCGGGUGAAAAACCCGCACGCCGGAAGACCAAGGGUUCCUGUCCAACGUUAAUCGGGGCAGGGUGAGUCGACCCCUAAGGCGAGGCUGAAAAGCGUAGUCGAUGGGAAACGGGUUAAUAUUCCCGUACUGGUGGUAACUGCGAUGGGGGAACGGAGAAGGCUAGGUUGUCCGGGCGACGGUCGUCCCGGUUCAAGCAUGUAGGCAGAGUGAUUAGGCAAAUCCGGUCACUUAAUGCUGAGGUGUGAUGACGAACCACUAAGGUGGUGAAGCAAUUGAUGCCCUGCUUCCAGGAAAAGCCUCUAAGCUUCAGGUUACCAACAAUCGUACCCCAAACCGACACAGGUGGUCAGGUAGAGAAUACUCAGGCGCUUGAGAGAACUCGGGUGAAGGAACUAGGCAAAAUGGUGCCGUAACUUCGGGAGAAGGCACGCUGGCGGUAAGUGAAGUCCCUUGCGGACGGAGCCGAAGCCAGUCGAAGAUACCAGCUGGCUGCAACUGUUUAUUAAAAACACAGCACUGUGCAAACACGAAAGUGGACGUAUACGGUGUGACGCCUGCCCGGUGCUGGAAGGUUAAUUGAUGGGGUUAUCCUUAGGGAGAAGCUCUUGAUCGAAGCCCCAGUAAACGGCGGCCGUAACUAUAACGGUCCUAAGGUAGCGAAAUUCCUUGUCGGGUAAGUUCCGACCUGCACGAAUGGCGUAAUGAUGGCCAGGCUGUCUCCACCCGAGACUCAGUGAAAUUGAACUCGCUGUGAAGAUGCAGUGUACCCGCGGCAAGACGGAAAGACCCCGUGAACCUUUACUAUAGCUUGACACUGAACAUUGAGCCUUGAUGUGUAGGAUAGGUGGGAGACUAUGAAGUGUGGACGCCAGUCUGCAUGGAGUCAACCUUGAAAUACCACCCUUUAACGUUUGAUGUUCUAACCUAGGCCCAUAAUCUGGGUCGGGGACCGUGUCUGGUGGGUAGUUUGACUGGGGCGGUCUCCUCCUAAAGAGUAACGGAGGAGCACGAAGGUUGGCUAAGCAUGGUCGGACAUCAUGCGGUUAGUGCAAAGGCAUAAGCCAGCUUGACUGUGAGAGUGACGGCUCGAGCAGGUACGAAAGUAGGUCUUAGUGAUCCGGUGGUUCUGAAUGGAAGGGCCAUCGCUCAACGGAUAAAAGGUACUCCGGGGAUAACAGGCUGAUACCGCCCAAGAGUUCAUAUCGACGGCGGUGUUUGGCACCUCGAUGUCGGCUCAUCACAUCCUGGGGCUGAAGUAGGUCCCAAGGGUAUGGCUGUUCGCCAUUUAAAGUGGUACGCGAGCUGGGUUUAGAACGUCGUGAGACAGUUCGGUCCCUAUCUGCCGUGGGCGUUGGAAGAUUGAGAGGGGUUGCUCCUAGUACGAGAGGACCGGAGUGAACGCACCACUGGUGUUCGGGUUGUCAUGCCAAUGGCAUUGCCCGGUAGCUAAGUGCGGAAGAGAUAACCGCUGAAAGCAUCUAAGCGGGAAACUUGCCUCAAGAUGAGUCUUCCCUGUCACCUUGAGUGACCUAAAGGAACGUUUAAGACUAAGACGUUGAUAGGCUGGGUGUGUAAGCGUAGCGAUACGUUGAGCUAACCAGUACUAAUGAACCGUGAGGCUUAACCUGACAACACCGAAGGUGUUU
rnacentral:rRNA from 1 species